CGGACGAAUAUUGAUAGGCCCCUUUGUGUUGACGUUCCUCUGGGAUGCGCGUCGUCCUUCCACGGUCCUCGAGUAACGUCUUCAGAAAGGAGUCCAUCAGUAUUGUCCA